rnacentral:rRNA from 1 species
UACGGGGGGGGCAAGCGUUGUUCGGAAUUACUGGGCGUAAAGGGCGCGUAGGCGGUUGGAUAAGUCAGCUGUGAAAACCACGGGCUUAACUCGUGGCCUGCAGUUGAGACUGUCUGGCUUGAGUGUGGGAGAGGAGAGUGGAAUUCCUGGUGUAGCGGUGAAAUGCGUAGAUAUCAGGAGGAACACCGGUGGCGAAGGCGGCUCUCUGGACAGUUACUGACGCUGAGGCACGAAGGCCAGGGGAGCAAACGGG